GGAGUUGUGGCUCAGUGGUAGAGUGCUUACCUAGCAUGUGUGAGGCACUGGGUUCGAGCCUCAGCACCA
rnacentral:tRNA from 1 species